AGGGGGAAGGGCCGUGGGGCAGCCCCAGGGAGUCAGAAUGGGGGACUGGGGGCAGCGCUAUGGGUCUGGGCUGCUCUAUGGGUCACUCUAUGGGUCUGGGCCACGCUAUGGGUCGCGCUAUGGGUCCGGGCCACUUGUGGGUCACGCUAUGGGGCUGGAUGCACCUUGAGCUGGUGGGGCAAGGACUGCACCACCCGGUCAGACCCACAGAAAAGGGAACAAGACCCAUAGAUGGGACAAAGAACUGAGACAAUGUGAUGUUAUGAGGGAAAUCUGUGGGGCAGAGCUAUGGGGCAGGUUCUAUGGUCAGCGCUAUGGGGCAGAGAUGUGGGGCAGGGUCAGCUCUAUGGGGCAGAGAUGUGGGGCUGGUCUAUGGGGCAGGGGGAAGGGCUGUGAGGUGGGAGGAAGAGCUGUGAUGGGACCAUAGAGCCUCAGGUUUGGCUGGUUUGGGAUGUGUGGGGCAGAGAUGUGGGGCAGGGUCAGCGCCGUGGGGCAGGGCUGUGGGGCAGGGGGAAGGGCCGUGGGGCAGCCCCAGGGAGUCAGAAUGGGGGACUGGGGGCAGCGCUAUGGGUCUGGGCUGCUCUAUGGGUCACUCUAUGGGUCUGGGCCACGCUAUGGGUCGCGCUAUGGGUCCGGGCCACUUGUGGGUCACGCUAUGGGGCUGGAUGCACCUUGAGCUGGUGUGGCAAGGACUGCACCACCCAAUGGGGCUGUUCUAUGGGGCAGGGAAGCCACGCUAUGGGUCAGGGCCCUGCUAUGGGUCACGCUAUGGGUCUGGGCCACUUGUGGGUCACACUAUGGGGCUGGGUCACUUGUGGGUCACACUAUGGGUCGUGCUAUGGGGCUGGAUGCACCAUGUGCUGGUGGGGCAAGGACUGCACCACCCAAUGGGGCUGUUCUAUGGGGCAGGGAAGCCACGCUAUGGGUCAGGGCCCUGCUAUGGGUCACGCUAUGGGGCUGGGCCACUUGUGGGUCCCGCUAUGGGGCUGGGUCACUUGUGGGUCGCGCUAGGGGGCUGGACGUUCCACACACGGACGGCUCAUCCUUCACACCACCCAAUGGGGCCGUUCUAUGGGGCGGGGAAGCCACGCUAUGGGUCAGGGCUGACGCUAUGGGUCGCGCUAUGGGUCCGGGCCACUUGUGGGUCGCGCUGUGGGGCUGACCGAGGGUCUGGAAGUUGAGGGCCGCCAUGUGACACCCCGCGUUCCAGAAGAGCUGGGGCUGGAAGUUGGAGGAGUCGACGCGGGUCCCCUUGGGGUAAACGCGGCUCAACUGGCGCUUGUUGUACCUGCGCGUCAAGGGCCACGCGACCCACGGCUGCCCCACGGCUGCCCCAUAGCUGCCCCAUAGCUGCCCCAUAGCUGCCCCAUAGCUGCCCCAUAGCUGCCCCAUAGCUGCCCCAUAGCUGCCCCAUAGCUGCCCCAUAGCUGCCCCAUAGCUGCCCCAUAGCUGCCCCAUAGCUGCCCCAUAGCUGCCCCAUAGC
rnacentral:lncRNA from 1 species